AGGCUCGUAGCUCAGCUGGAAGAGCGCCUGGUUCUGACCCAGGAGGUCGUUGGUUCAACUCCAACCGGGCCCGCCA
rnacentral:tRNA from 1 species